rnacentral:rRNA from 1 species
UACGUAGGGGGCAAGCGUUGUCCGGAUUUAUUGGGCGUAAAGAGCGUGUAGGCGGCUUUGCAAGUCCGUUGUGAAAACUCGAGGCUCAACCUCGAGACGCCGGUGGAAACUGCAAAGCUAGAGUCCGGAAGAGGAGAGUGGAAUUCCUGGUGUAGCGGUGAAAUGCGCAGAUAUCAGGAAGAACACCCGUGGCGAAGGCGGCUCUCUGGGGACGGUACUGACGCUGAGACGCGAAAGCGUGGGGAGCGAACAGG